GAUGAACGCUGGCGGCGUGCCUAAUACAUGCAAGUCGAGCGAACGGACGAGAAGCUUGCUUCUCUGAUGUUAGCGGCGGACGGGUGAGUAACACGUGGAUAACCUACCUAUAAUACUGGGAUAACUUCGGGAAACCGGAGCUAAUACCGGAUGAUAUUUUGUACCGCAUGGUUCAAAAGUGAAAGACGGUCUUGCUGUCACUUAUAGAUGUAUCCGCGCUGCAUUAGCUAGUUGGUAAGGUAACGGCUUACCAAGGCAACGAUGCAUAGCCGACCUGAGAGGGUGAUCGGCCACACUGGAACUGAGACACGGUCCAGACUCCUACGGGAGGCAGCAGUAGGGAAUCUUCCGCAAUGGGCGAAAGCCUGACGGAGCAACGCCGCGUGAGUGAUGAAGGUCUUCGGAUCGUAAAACUCUGUUAUUAGGGAAGAACAUAUGUGUAAGUAACUGUGCACAUCUUGACGGUACCUAAUCAGAAAGCCACGGCUAACUACGUG
rnacentral:rRNA from 1 species